GCAAGUCGAACGGUAACAGGUCUUCGGAUGCUGACGAGUGGCGCACGGGUGAGUAACGCGUACAUAACCUACCUUACACAGAGGAAUACCCUUGGGAAACUAAGAUUAAUACCUCAUAGUAUUAAUGAUUCGCAUGGAUUGUUGAUUAAAGUGUUAGCGGUGUGAGAUGGGUGUGCGUGCCAUUAGAUAGUGGGUGAGGUAACGGCUCACCAAGUCAGCGAUGGCUAGGGGGCGUGAGAGCGGGGGG
rnacentral:rRNA from 1 species